AUGGCCCUUAUUGACUUAGGGCAACUCACAUUCUGGAGAGCGUUUGGCCCAGCUGAGAACACUGAUUGGCAUGAGCUAUUGGAUUGCAUCGCGCUACACGAGCCUAAUCUUGAGUUAGGAGAUGACCGUUCUAGGUGGCGUCUAGAGCCAUCUGGGCAAUUCUCCACUAAAUCUCUAUACCAAGCCAUCGCACCCUCGCUGGGUCAUGAGGCGCUCACCACCAUCUGGGAGAUCCGGCUCCCCUUGAAGAUUAAGAUAUUCUUGUGGCAAUGGAUUCAUGGCCGCCUCCCAUCCGACGUGGAGGUCCUGAAACGCAACGGCCCAGGUAAUGGGCGGUGCCCGCUCUGCGGGCCUGAAGAGGAUUCGAACCAUAUCUUCUUCACCUGUGUGUAUGCGCAGUUCCUAUGGAGCUGUUUCCGCGAAAUAGUGGGUGGAAGCUGGGACCACAACAACUUCCCCGCUCUCUUCGCGGAACUCCAGGCGUUAGCCCCCUCAGUUCGCCACAUUAGGUGGCUGAUCAUCGGGGUGCUAACCUGGACGCUGUGGACUGUUAGGAAUAAGUUGUGA
rnacentral:rRNA from 1 species